ensembl:snRNA LOC120097300 U6 spliceosomal RNA
GUGCUCGCUUCGGCAGCACAUAUACUAAAAUUGGAACGAUACAGAGAAGAUUAGCAUGGCCCCUGUGCGAGGAUGACACUCGAAUUCGUGUAGCGUUCCGUGUUUUU